GUGGGAGAGGCUUAGUGGUUUGGCGUGAGAUUGCAACGUAUCUUGAUAGAGCGGCGCUCCAAAAAUCUUGAGGUCGUGGGUUCGAUUCCCACCUUCCACU
rnacentral:tRNA from 1 species